UACGAAGGGGGCUAGCGUUGUUCGGAAUUACUGGGCGUAAAGCGCACGUAGGCGGGUAUUUAAGUCAGGGGUGAAAUCCCAGAGCUCAACUCUGGAACUGCCUUUGAUACUGGGUACCUAGAGUAUGGAAGAGGUGAGUGGAAUUCCGAGUGUAGAGGUGAAAUUCGUAGAUAUUCGGAGGAACACCAGUGGCGAAGGCGGCUCACUGGUCCGGUACUGACGCUGAGGUGCGAAAGCGUGGGGAGCAAACAGG
rnacentral:rRNA from 1 species